UACGUAGGGUGCAAGCGUUAUCCGGAAUUAUUGGGCGUAAAGAGCUCGUAGGCGGUUUGUCGCGUCUGCUGUGAAGACUGGGGGCUCAACCCCCAGCCUGCAGUGGGUACGGGCAGACUAGAGUGCGGUAGGGGAGAUUGGAAUUCCUGGUGUAGCGGUGGAAUGCGCAGAUAUCAGGAGGAACACCAAUGGCGAAGGCAGAUCUCUGGGCCGUAACUGACGCUGAGGAGCGAAAGCAUGGGGAGCGAACAGG
rnacentral:rRNA from 1 species